rnacentral:rRNA from 1 species
AUCGUACGACGUAGUUUGAUCAUGGCUCAGAACGAACGCUGGCGGCAUGCCUAACACAUGCAAGUCGAACGAGACUUCGGUCUAGUGGCGGACGGGUGAGUAACGCGUAGGAACCUGCCAAGCAGUGGGGAAUAACAGCUGGAAACGGCUGCUAAUACCGCAUACGCCCUUCGGGGGAAAGAUUUAUCGCUGUUUGAGGGUCCUGCGUUCGAUUAGCUAGUUGGUGAGGUAACGGCCCACCAAGGCGACGAUCGAUAGCUGGUCUGAGAGGAUGAUCAGCCACACUGGGACUGAGACACGGCCCAGACUCCUACGGGAGGCAGCAGUGGGGAAUAUUGGACAAUGGGGGAAACCCUGAUCCAGCAAUGCCGCGUGCGUGAAGAAGGCCUUAGGGUUGUAAAGCGCUUUCACCUGUGAUGAUGAUGACAGUAGCAGGAGAAGAAGCCCCGGCUAACUCCGUG